rnacentral:rRNA from 1 species
CCUACGGGGGGCUGCAGUGGGGAAUAUUGCACAAUGGGCGCAAGCCUGAUGCAGCCAUGCCGCGUGUGUGAAGAAGGCCUUCGGGUUGUAAAGCACUUUCAGCGGGGAGGAAGGCGUUAAGGUUAAUAACCUUGGCGAUUGACGUUACCCGCAGAAGAAGCACCGGCUAACUCCGUGCCAGCAGCCGCGGUAAUACGGAGGGUGCAAGCGUUAAUCGGAAUUACUGGGCGUAAAGCGCACGCAGGCGGUCUGUCGAGUCGGAUGUGAAAUCCCCGGGCUCAACCGGGGAACUGCAGUCGAAACGGGCAGGCUAGAGUCUUGUAGAGGGGGGUAGAAUUCCAGGUGUAGCGGUGAAAUGCGUAGAGAUCUGGAGGAAUACCGGUGGCGAAGGCGGCCCCCUGGACAAAGACUGACGCUCAGGUGCGAAAGCGUGGGGAGCAAACAGGAUUAGAUACCCCAGUAGUC